rnacentral:rRNA from 1 species
UACGUAGGGGGCAAGCGUUGUCCGGAUUCAUUGGGCGUAAAGAGCUCGUAGGCGGCUUGGCAAGUCGGGUGUGAAACCUCCAGGCUCAACCUGGAGACGCCACCCGAUACUGCCAUGGCUAGAGUCCGGUAGGGGACCACGGAAUUCCUGGUGUAGCGGUGAAAUGCGCAGAUAUCAGGAGGAACACCGGUGGCGAAGGCGACUUCCUGGCCUGUUCUUGACGCUGAGGCGCGAAAGCCAGGGGAGCAAACGGG